AAAGCUCAUAAAAGAAAAUUGGUGUGAACGAGUGCUUCAGGUAAAAAUUCUAAGUUCAAGUCGGGAUGCAGUGAUAGGUACUAACUGAGUGAACUAAGGGUAUCAUGAUGACACUAAUCCGCAAAUACGGACAUAAACUUCAUUCCUAUGUGCUUCAGGUAAAAAUUCUAAGUUCAAGUCGGGAUGCAGUGAUAGGUACUAACUGAGUGAACUA
rnacentral:lncRNA from 1 species